ACUCUCGACUAGCAAGUAAUACGGAGGGUGCAAGCGUUAUCCGGAUUUAUUGGGUUUAAAGGGUCCGUAGGCGGAUGCGUAAGUCAGUGGUGAAAUCUCACAGCUCAACUGUGGAACUGCCAUUGAUACUGCGUGUCUUGAGUGAGGUUGAAGUAGCUGGAAUAAGUAGUGUAGCGGUGAAAUGCAUAGAUAUUACUUAGAACACCAAUUGCGAAGGCAGGUUACUAAGUCUCAACUGACGCUGAUGGACGAAAGCGUGGGGAGCGAACAGGAUUAGAUACCCUGGUAGUCCACGCUGUAAACGAUGCUAACUCGUUUUUGGGGAUUUAUCUUCAGAGACUAAGCGAAAGUGAUAAGUUAGCCACCUGGGGAGUACGAACGCAAGUUUGAAACUCAAAGGAAUUGACGGGGGCCCGCACAAGCGGUGGAUUAUGUGGUUUAAUUCGAUGAUACGCGAGGAACCUUACCAAGGCUUAAAUGGAAAUUGAUCGGUUUAAAAAUAAACCUUCCCUUCAGGAAAUUUUUAAGGUGCUGCAUGGUUUGUCGUCAACCUCCUGCCCUAGAGGUGGUUAGGUUAAAUCCC
rnacentral:rRNA from 1 species